UUGUAACUUGUUAUCUGAGGCAUAUGAUAAAGUCAUUUGUACUCAACAUUAAAUACAGAUAAGGGAGAGACAAGGCUGAAGUUAGAGAGGUGGAUGUAUUACUUCCUUUCUUCCCAUUCUCUUCGAUUCCACAUGGGGUUUUAUUUGGCAGCGUUGAGGUUUCUUGUCCAUUCCAAGACUUAAUACUUUAUUUUGAGGUUUCAAGGGAAUGUCUCAUUAUGAGAUGUAUUUGCACAGAUGAAAUGAUCCAUGGUUGAAUUAGAAACAAUUUUACUGACAGAUCAAUCAUAUAACUCUGCUGGACUGAUUAUAUCUCUGUUCUUGUUUAGAAUCUGAAAGUUUGAAUGAAUCUGCUCUGCUAGAUGAAAUCUGUGUGUUUUGAACUGAAUUGAUUCAUUCCUGAGUAACCCAAAUGGUUAUACAGAUCAGAAUUCCACUUCCCUUCUCUACAAGGAACUGGAUAAGCCACAGCAUGUGGGUGAUGACCAAGUCACCAGCUCGUGAGCUGAAGGACAGAUGUUGGAAUGCUGGCAAACAAACAAGUGGCCAUGAUUUUGCAUUCAGAAUCUGCCUAACACGUGUACAGAGCCCACACCCAGCUGUGCCUCUGUUCUGAGUUCUUAUAUAAACAAACCUCCAAACCAUUCACAAACUCAUCUCUUUUAGUAUUGAAUUUAUGGGUUCCUCUUGCCAUCAGAAUGUGCCUGCUUUGAAGAGGAAGAGGAGAGAAGCGCGCCAGGCUCGCCGGAAAGUGCAGAAGCUCCGGUGGGUGGUGCCCGGUGGGAGAGGGCUGCAACAGGAACAUCUCUUCGUCAAAACGGCUCAUUAUAUACUGCAUUUGAGAUUGAAAGUCUGUGCCCUUCAAACCAUCCUCAAAUUGCAGGAUGAGGCUUGAGAAAUGUAUGAUAUGAUGUGAUAUUCUCAUCAGCUAUUGGUCGUCACGUUGGGGAGUGUUUAAUGUAUAUUUAUAUGGGUUUGGUAUAUUAUAUUUAUAAAUCAUAAAAUUAGUUGUGAGAUUUUAA